rnacentral:rRNA from 1 species
CAGCCCUUGACAUCCCCAGACCGCGGCAGAGAUGCCGUUUUCCCUUCGGGGACUGGGAGACAGGUGCUGCAUGGCUGUCGUCAGCUCGUGUCGUGAGAUGUUGGGUUAAGUCCCGCAACGAGCGCAACCCUCGCCCUUAGUUGCCAUCAUUCAGUUGGGCACUCUAGGGGGACUGCCGGUGAUAAGCCGAGAGGAAGGUGGGGAUGACGUCAAGUCCUCAUGGCCCUUACGGGCUGGGCUACACACGUGCUACAAUGGCGGUGACAGUGGGCAGCGACUUCGCGAGAAGGAGCUAAUCCCCAAAAGCCGUCUCAGUUCGGAUUGCACUCUGCAACUCGAGUGCAUGAAGUCGGAAUCGCUAGUAAUCGCGUAACAGCACGACGCGGUGAAUACGUUCCCGGGCCUUGUACACACCGCCCGUCACACCAUGGGAGUUGGGUUUACCCGAAGGCAGUGCGCUAACCUGAAAGGGGGGCAGCUGACCACGGUAGGCUCAGCGACUGGGGUG